rnacentral:rRNA from 3 species
GAACGACUCUCGGCAACGGAUAUCUCGGCUCUCGCAUCGAUGAAGAACGUAGCGAAAUGCGAUACUUGGUGUGAAUUGCAGAAUCCCGUGAACCAUCGAGUCUUUGAACGCAAGUUGCGCCCGACGCCUUUUGGUUGAGGGCACGUCUGCUUGGGUGUCACGC